CUAAAUGUGGGCAAAGGAUAUCCUAAGAAGCCGAGAGGCAAAAUGUCAUCAUAUGCAUUUUUUGUGCAAACUUGUUGGGAGGAGCAUACGAAGAAACACCCAGAUGCAGUCAACUUCCCAGAGUCUUCUAAGAAGUGCUGAGAGAGGUGGAAGACCAUGUCUGCUAAAGAGAAAGAAAAAUUCUAAGAUACGGCAAAGGUGGACAAGGCCUGUUAUGAAAGAGAAAUGAAAACCUAUAUCCCUCCUAAAGGGGAGACAAAAAAGAAGUUCAAGGAUCCCAAUGCACCCAAGAGGGCUUUUUCUUGUUCUGCUCUGAGUAUGGCCCAAAAAUCAAAGGAGAACAUCCUGGCCUGUCCAUUGGUGAUGUUGCAAAGGAACUAGGGGGCAUGUGGAAUAACACUCCUGCAGAUGAUAAUCAGCCUUAUGAAAAGAAGGCUGCGAAGCUGAGGGAAAAAUACAAAAAGGUGAAAUACCAUUGAUUUGAUAAUGGAAAUUUAAAAAAUAAAUAAAUAACACAUAAAAAAAGAAAAAUAUGAAAAGGAUAUUGCUGCAUAUCGAGCUGAAGGAAAGCCUGAUGCAGCAAAAAAGGGAGUUGUCAAGGCUGAAAAAAGCAAGAGAAAGAAGGAAGAGGAAGAAGAUAAAGAAGAUGAUGAUGAUGAAUAAGUUGGUUCUAUUGCAGUUUUUUUGUCUAUAAAGCAUUUAACCCCCCUGUACACAACUCACUCCUUUUAAAGAAAAAUUGAAAUGUAAGGCUGUGUAAGAUUUGUUUUCAAACUGUACAGUGUUUUUUUUUGUAUAGUUAACACACUACCAAAUGUGUCUUUAGAAAGCCCUGUCCUGGUGAUAUUUUCAGUAGCCACUAACCUUUUGUGGUACAGUAUGGGGGUUGUAAAUUGGCACCGAAAUUUAAAGCAGUUUCUUGUUGGUGCACAGCACAAAUUAGUUCUAUAUGGGGAUGGUAGUUUUUUCAUUUUCAGUUGCCUCUGAUGUAGCUUAUAUGAAAUAAUUGUUGUUCUGUUAACUGAACACCACUCUGUAAUUGAAAAAAAAAAGUUGUAGCUGUUUUGUUGACAUUCUGAAUGCUUCUAAGUAAAUAUAAUUUUUUUU